AACCCUGAUGGUCGCAAGCCGAUUCUGUAAAGUUACGUACGAAACUACACUAUAAGGUGUUCUUUAUUGAAAUUUCCAGUAAACAUGCAAGAACCCAAACAUUGGUGACCUUAGAUUGAUCCUAUAACCACAUGUAUCAACAUGCCUGAAGAAGUCGCCACAGACAAAACGCGUUGGUGAAAACUCUUUUGUUGUUGUUUAAGAGAAACUGUCUGGCAAUUGGCCAAAUUGGUUAUUCACUGACACCUAAGACUGUUGUUAAGGAAAAAUAAUAUAUGAAAUAUAUGUGGAUUGUUUUAAUGUAUUUUAAAUAGUUUUAUUGAGAUUAAAUUGUCUAAAUGGUCACAUAUGUAUAGAAAUGUAUUGAGUGUACUCUAAACAAGUUUUUUAGGAAUUAUUAUAAUACUCAUCCCAUAUUUAAGUUAGUCAUCAUAAUUUAAAACCGAGUAGUGAGACUUCAGUUCCACAAGACAGUAAUAGAGUGCUCCCCAGAAAUAACUAUCUACCUAUUCAAAUUCUAUGCCCAAACUGACAAGAAGGACAUUUUUUUUAUUAGGUAGGAGCCAAGAUAUAAAUAUUAUUAGACAAUUAGAAGUUAUUAUCAUUUAGAAGAAUCUUCAUUAAAAUUAUUGUAUACUCUAGCGCAUAGAGGUAACGUUAAAUUACUAAAUAAAUUCAUCUUAUACUUUUUAUCUAAUAGUCCAGUCAUAAUGUUAUAGAAAUUGAGAAA